UGUAACAACCUUGUCGAAAUUAUCAGACUUGUUGCAAGGUUGUUCUGACAAGUCCGUUACAUGCUUAAUAUAGCAAGAUUGUUACAACCUUGUGUUGACAAUCUUGUAACAUCCUUGUUAUAUCAUAGCUGUAACAAACUUGUUAGCACAGUCUUGUAACAAGGCUGAUGAUGCCAUCAAGCUUGUUACA